CGAACCGACUAAUGUUGAAAAAUUAGCGGAUGACUUGUGGCUGGGGGUGAAAGGCCAAUCAAACCGGGAGAUAGCUGGUUCUCCCCGAAAGCUAUUUAGGUAGCGCCUCGUGAAUUCAUCUCCGGGGGUAGAGCACUGUUUCGGCAAGGGGGUCAUCCCGACUUACCAACCCGAUGCAAACUGCGAAUACCGGAGAAUGUUAUCACGGGAGACACACGGCGGGUGCUAACGUCCGUCGUGAAGAGGGAAACAACCCAGACCGCCAGCUAAGGUCCCAAAGUCAUGGUUAAGUGGGAAACGAUGUGGGAAGGCCCAGACAGCCAGGAUGUUGGCUUAGAAGCAGCCAUCAUUUAAAGAAAGCGUAAUAGCUCACUGGUCGAGUCGGCCUGCGCGGAAGAUGUAACGGGGCUAAACCAUGCACCGAAGCUGCGGCAGCGACACUAUGUGUUGUUGGGUAGGGGAGCGUUCUGUAAGCCUGUGAAGGUGUACUGUGAGGUAUGCUGGAGGUAUCAGAAGUGCGAAUGCUGACAUAAGUAACGAUAAAGCGGGUGAAAAGCCCGCUCGCCGGAAGACCAAGGGUUCCUGUCCAACGUUAAUCGGGGCAGGGUGAGUCGACCCCUAAGGCGAGGCCGAAAGGCGUAGUCGAUGGGAAACAGGUUAAUAUUCCUGUACUUGGUGUUACUGCGAAGGGGGGACGGAGAAGGCUAUGUUGGCCGGGCGACGGUUGUCCCGGUUUAAGCGUGUAGGCUGGUUUUCCAGGCAAAUCCGGAAAACUAAGGCUGAGGCGUGAUGACGAGGCACUACGGUGCUGAAGCAACAAAUGCCCUGCUUCCAGGAAAAGCCUCUAAGCAUCAGGUAACAUCAAAUCGUACCCCAAACCGACACAGGUGGUCAGGUAGAGAAUACCAAGGCGCUUGAGAGAACUCGGGUGAAGGAACUAGGCAAAAUGGUGCCGUAACUUCGGGAGAAGGCACGCUGAUAUGUAGGUGAAGUCCCUCGCGGAUGGAGCUGAAAUCAGUCGAAGAUACCAGCUGGCUGCAACUGUUUAUUAAAAACACAGCACUGUGCAAACACGAAAGUGGACGUAUACGGUGUGACGCCUGCCCGGUGCCGGAAGGUUAAUUGAUGGGGUCAGCGCAAGCGAAGCUCUUGAUCGAAGCCCCGGUAAACGGCGGCCGUAACUAUAACGGUCCUAAGGUAGCGAAAUUCCUUGUCGGGUAAGUUCCGACCUGCACGAAUGGCGUAAUGAUGGCCAGGCUGUCUCCACCCGAGACUCAGUGAAAUUGAACUCGCUGUGAAGAUGCAGUGUACCCGCGGCAAGACGGAAAGACCCCGUGAACCUUUACUAUAGCUUGACACUGAACAUUGAGCCUUGAUGUGUAGGAUAGGUGGGAGGCUUUGAAGUGUGGACGCCAGUCUGCAUGGAGCCGACCUUGAAAUACCACCCUUUAAUGUUUGAUGUUCUAACGUUGACCCGUAAUCCGGGUUGCGGACAGUGUCUGGUGGGUAGUUUGACUGGGGCGGUCUCCUCCUAAAGAGUAACGGAGGAGCACGAAGGUUGGCUAAUCCUGGUCGGACAUCAGGAGGUUAGUGCAAUGGCAUAAGCCAGCUUGACUGCGAGCGUGACGGCGCGAGCAGGUGCGAAAGCAGGUCAUAGUGAUCCGGUGGUUCUGAAUGGAAGGGCCAUCGCUCAACGGAUAAAAGGUACUCCGGGGAUAACAGGCUGAUACCGCCCAAGAGUUCAUAUCGACGGCGGUGUUUGGCACCUCGAUGUCGGCUCAUCACAUCCUGGGGCUGAAGUAGGUCCCAAGGGUAUGGCUGUUCGCCAUUUAAAGUGGUACGCGAGCUGGGUUUAGAACGUCGUGAGACAGUUCGGUCCCUAUCUGCCGUGGGCGCUGGAGAACUGAGGGGGGCUGCUCCUAGUACGAGAGGACCGGAGUGGACGCAUCACUGGUGUUCGGGUUGUCAUGCCAAUGGCACUGCCCGGUAGCUAAAUGCGGAAGAGAUAAGUGCUGAAAGCAUCUAAGCACGAAACUUGCCCCGAGAUGAGUUCUCCCUGACUCCUUGAGAGUCCUGAAGGAACGUUGAAGACGACGACGUUGAUAGGCCGGGUGUGUAAGCGCAGCGAUGCGUUGAGCUAACCGGUACUAAUGAACCGUGAGGCUUAACCUU
rnacentral:rRNA from 1 species